GUAUGUGUGCCUUUCUUUCUGUGUUUGUGUGGGUGUCGCGUGGCUGUCAGUGGGUGUUUGUUUUCAUGUCAUCACAUGAUCUUUGUUACCGGAACUGUUCCGUAGCGCCGCUCGGCUGAUAAUCAGCGAGCUACAGGCUCCUCUCUUCGCUGGUGGUGAGUGGUCUGGUUGUAUUCCAUGUUGCAGUCUCUGAUGCUUCCUGUUUCUUCCUGAUGAAUGUGUGAUCCGCUCUGUUGAUGAGUUACAUCUGAGACAUCCCGGUUUCUUCUAUGACGAAUGUUUUAUCUGCUCUGUUGAUGAGUAUUAUGAACAUUUGAUCAGUGCUGCCGAACCAGACCACCACUAUAAUUAUUCACCUGUUCAGUGCCUCCAGCCACUCACCAAUUUCCUGUCCAUUUGUGAGAACAAUAUUAAAAGACUUUGUUUUGCUUGCAA